rnacentral:rRNA from 1 species
ACGCUCGACACCUACGGAGGCAGCAGUGGGGAAUAUUGCACAAUGGGGGAAACCCUGAUGCAGCGACGCCGCGUGAAGGAAGAAGUAUCUCGGUAUGUAAACUUCUAUCAGCAGGGAAGAAAAUGACGGUACCUGACUAAGAAGCCCCGGCUAACUACGUGGCAGCAGCCGCGGUAAUCUGAGCGGGCUGGCAAGGC